UACGUAGGGCGCAAGCGUUAUCCGGAAUUAUUGGGCGUAAAGAGCUCGUAGGUGGUUUGUCGCGUUGUCCGUGAAAACUCACAGCUUAACUGUGGGCGUGCGGGCGAUACGGGCAGACUGGAGUACUGCAGGGGAGACUGGAAUUCCUGGUGUAGCGGUGGAAUGCGCAGAUAUCAGGAGGAACACCGGUGGCGAAGGCGGGUCUCUGGGCAGUAACUGACGCUGAGGAGCGAAAGCGUGAGGAGCGAACAGG
rnacentral:rRNA from 1 species